AUAGCUCAGCUGGGAGAGCGCCUGCCUUGCACGCAGGAGGUCAGCAGUUCGAUCCUGCUU
rnacentral:tRNA from 1 species